GCUCGGCCUGUUUUUUGACGCAUACGCUUUUUGGGAUCCAAUGGUCGGUCUAACCAGAACCUUAAUUUCGUUGAAGACAGCUACGAGCAGUGGUGUGGGAGAUGCCGAGGAGCUGGACGUACGGGGUUGUCCUGCAGCGCCUCCGCUAUGACAGUGGCUUCUUGCCUCGUCGGACGGGCCAUGGUGAUGCACUGACUGGUUUUCUUUUCUUCUCAGGUGGUGGUGACUGGUGACGGCUGCUGCGGGGUUUAUCUUUUGGUGGUCGGCGGUUGAGCGGUGGGUGGGAAUGCAAGUUUGGUUUCUGCAGAUGAGGGUGAUAAUUAAUCGAAUUGGAUUGGUAGAGGGGAUAUUAAUUGCUGGAAUCUGGGCUACUGAUGGGUGGACAUGGUGGCUAAUAAAGUAAUAAUUUUGUAAUUGGGUGGACCGGUUUUGGAAUUUUUGCUUUGACAAUUGGUGUUGAUGAAGAUUUUCCAGCUGAAUGGUGGUUGUAAUUGUUGGUUGUAAGAAGAAGAAGAGUGCCCGUUCACAACUCUCUCUCUGUCUCUCUCAAUUUGAUCUGGG
rnacentral:lncRNA from 1 species